rnacentral:rRNA from 1 species
AACGUAGGAGACAAACGUUAUCCGGAGUUACUGGGCGUAAAGGGCGUGUAGGUGGUUUCGUAAGUCUGGCGUGAAAUUUUUCGGCUUAACCGGGAAAGGUCGUCGGAUACUGCGGAGCUAGAGGACGGUAGAGGCGUGUGGAAUUCCGGGUGUAGUGGUGAAAUGCGUAGAGAUCCGGAGGAACACCAGUGGCGAAGGCGGCGACCUGGGCCAAUACUGACGCUGAGGUGCGAAAGCGUGGGGAGCAAACAGG